rnacentral:rRNA from 1 species
ACGGGAGGCAGCAGUGAGGAAUAUUGGUCAAUGGGCGGAAGCCUGAACCAGCCAAGUCGCGUGAAGGAUGAAGGUAUUAUGUAUUGUAAACUUCUUUAGCUGUGGAGCAAUAAUCGCCCUGUAUGGCGAGAUGAGAGUACACAGAGAAUAAGGAUCGGCUAACUCCGUGCCAGCAGCCGCGGUAAUACGGAGGAUCCGAGCGUUAUCCGGAUUUAUUGGGUUUAAAGGGUGCGCAGGCGGCUUUCUAAGUCAGUGGUUAAAGAGCGGGGCUCAACGCCGUCCCGCCAUUGGUACUGGAGGGCUUGAUUGCGGUCGGGGUUUGCGGAAUUCGACGUGUAGCGGUGAAAUGCAUAGAUAUGACGAAGAACACCGAUUGCGUAGGCAGCAGACCAGUCCGUAAAUGACGCUCAUGCACGAAAGUGCGGGGAUCGAACAGGAUUAGAUACCCUGGUA